GGGACACGUGGUAUCCUGUCUGAAUAUGGGGGGACCAUCCUCCAAGGCUAAAUACUCCUGACUGACCGAUAGUGAACCAGUACCGUGAGGGAAAGGCGAAAAGAACCCCGGCGAGGGGAGUGAAAAAGAACCUGAAACCGUGUACGUACAAGCAGUGGGAGCACGCUUAGGCGUGUGACUGCGUACCUUUUGUAUAAUGGGUCAGCGACUUAUAUUCUGUAGCAAGGUUAACCGAAUAGGGGAGCCGAAGGGAAACCGAGUCUUAACUGGGCGUUAAGUUGCAGGGUAUAGACCCGAAACCCGGUGAUCUAGCCAUGGGCAGGUUGAAGGUUGGGUAACACUAACUGGAGGACCGAACCGACUAAUGUUGAAAAAUUAGCGGAUGACUUGUGGCUGGGGGUGAAAGGCCAAUCAAACCGGGAGAUAGCUGGUUCUCCCCGAAAGCUAUUUAGGUAGCGCCUCGUGAAUUCAUCUCCGGGGGUAGAGCACUGUUUCGGCAAGGGGGUCAUCCCGACUUACCAACCCGAUGCAAACUGCGAAUACCGGAGAAUGUUAUCACGGGAGACACACGGCGGGUGCUAACGUCCGUCGUGAAGAGGGAAACAACCCAGACCGCCAGCUAAGGUCCCAAAGUCAUGGUUAAGUGGGAAACGAUGUGGGAAGGCCCAGACAGCCAGGAUGUUGGCUUAGAAGCAGCCAUCAUUUAAAGAAAGCGUAAUAGCUCACUGGUCGAGUCGGCCUGCGCGGAAGAUGUAACGGGGCUAAACCAUGCACCGAAGCUGCGGCAGCGACGCUUAUGCGUUGUUGGGUAGGGGAGCGUUCUGUAAGCCUGUGAAGGUGUGCUGUGAGGCAUGCUGGAGGUAUCAGAAGUGCGAAUGCUGACAUAAGUAACGAUAAAGCGGGUGAAAAGCCCGCUCGCCGGAAGACCAAGGGUUCCUGUCCAACGUUAAUCGGGGCAGGGUGAGUCGACCCCUAAGGCGAGGCCGAAAGGCGUAGUCGAUGGGAAACAGGUUAAUAUUCCUGUACUUGGUGUUACUGCGAAGGGGGGACGGAGAAGGCUAUGUUGGCCGGGCGACGGUUGUCCCGGUUUAAGCGUGUAGGCUGGUUUUCCAGGCAAAUCCGGAAAAUCAAGGCUGAGGCGUGAUGACGAGGCACUACGGUGCUGAAGCAACAAAUGCCCUGCUUCCAGGAAAAGCCUCUAAGCAUCAGGUAACAUCAAAUCGUACCCCAAACCGACACAGGUGGUCAGGUAGAGAAUACCAAGGCGCUUGAGAGAACUCGGGUGAAGGAACUAGGCAAAAUGGUGCCGUAACUUCGGGAGAAGGCACGCUGAUAUGUAGGUGAAGUCCCUUGCGGAUGGAGCUGAAAUCAGUCGAAGAUACCAGCUGGCUGCAACUGUUUAUUAAAAACACAGCACUGUGCAAACACGAAAGUGGACGUAUACGGUGUGACGCCUGCCCGGUGCCGGAAGGUUAAUUGAUGGGGUUAGCGCAAGCGAAGCUCUUGAUCGAAGCCCCGGUAAACGGCGGCCGUAACUAUAACGGUCCUAAGGUAGCGAAAUUCCUUGUCGGGUAAGUUCCGACCUGCACGAAUGGCGUAAUGAUGGCCAGGCUGUCUCCACCCGAGACUCAGUGAAAUUGAACUCGCUGUGAAGAUGCAGUGUACCCGCGGCAAGACGGAAAGACCCCGUGAACCUUUACUAUAGCUUGACACUGAACAUUGAGCCUUGAUGUGUAGGAUAGGUGGGAGGCUUGGAAGUGUGGACGCCAGUCUGCAUGGAGCCGACCUUGAAAUACCACCCUUUAAUGUUUGAUGUUCUAACGUUGACCCGUAAUCCGGGUUGCGGACAGUGUCUGGUGGGUAGUUUGACUGGGGCGGUCUCCUCCUAAAGAGUAACGGAGGAGCACGAAGGUUGGCUAAUCCUGGUCGGACAUCAGGAGGUUAGUGCAAUGGCAUAAGCCAGCUUGACUGCGAGCGUGACGGCGCGAGCAGGUGCGAAAGCAGGUCAUAGUGAUCCGGUGGUUCUGAAUGGAAGGGCCAUCGCUCAACGGAUAAAAGGUACUCCGGGGAUAACAGGCUGAUACCGCCCAAGAGUUCAUAUCGACGGCGGUGUUUGGCACCUCGAUGUCGGCUCAUCACAUCCUGGGGCUGAAGUAGGUCCCAAGGGUAUGGCUGUUCGCCAUUUAAAGUGGUACGCGAGCUGGGUUUAGAACGUCGUGAGACAGUUCGGUCCCUAUCUGCCGUGGGCGCUGGAGAACUGAGGGGGGCUGCUCCUAGUACGAGAGGACCGGAGUGGACGCAUCACUGGUGUUCGGGUUGUCAUGCCAAUGGCACUGCCCGGUAGCUAAAUGCGGAAGAGAUAAGUGCUGAAAGCAUCUAAGCACGAAACUUGCCCCGAGAUGAGUUCUCCCUGACUCCUUGAGAGUCCUGAAGGAACGUUGAAGACGACGACGUUGAUAGGCCGGGUGUGUAAGCGCAGCGAUGCGUUGAGCUAACCGGUACUAAUGAACCGUGAGGCUUAACCUUACAACGCCGAAGCUGUU
rnacentral:rRNA from 1 species